rnacentral:lncRNA from 1 species
GAAAUUCGCGGUAAGAUGAAAGCAAGAUACUGAUAAGAAUAGAUAACUGAUAUCAUGUUGUAGCAUAGCGGCAUGUUAACAGUUUCUAUGCCUUGAGUCUUAUUAGGAUCCAAUCAGGAUUGUAAUAAAGAAGUAUCAGGAAACGCUGCUGAGGAACCUCCGAUGUGGUGAUCAACAAAAACAAUAUUUCGAAUGGAAAAUAUUCAACGAUCGAAAUGAAAAUAUUUAUCUUUAAAAUGUUUUAUUAAAACUAUCAUACUAAAUGCUUUGUGACUUGCCGCGUUUGUGCAGAAAAUGAACUUUUCCUGAAAACGAGAAAUAUUACAAAAUCAUAGUGUUGGGGAGGUAAUCGAGUGCCUGAAGUGUCAACAAGGCUGAGAUGAGUUCAUGGGAUUUUGCAGCAAAGUGUUUUCUUCCGAAUCUUCGGUGCAUAGUUAUGAGAAAAAGGAACGAAAAGUGGAAAGUUAGCAGACAGAAAUGAUUUUCUCUUAAAUACCAUCUAAAUCUGUAUUGAGAUUGGCAAAAUAAGUAAGAGAUACAAUUGACCACUGUAGAUUUGAGUGCGAUAACCAAACCGAAUUGACGCUACAACAUAAAUUGCUGAAAGUAGUGAAAACAUUGGAUAGAUCCAUGAAAUACGAGAUGCUUUCCAGGACAGAUAGACAUUUUUAACGACGACAACGUAUGAGGAUUAUACCAUCAAUGGAAAGCUGCAUAUGCAUUGCGAAAAUCUGUAAGAUACUGGGCAAAGAACGUUGCAUUAAAAUUCAGUGAAAGCAGAACAAACCUCACAGUCCGAAUGGCGCGAUGCGUACUCCGAAAAGAAGAUGUACAGCUUAUUCAGUACAACGAUGAGUUACAAAAACUUUUUAAUAAGGAAUGCCAAUAGGCUGGUGUUCGCGAAUUCAUGUAAAUAGAAUAUCCAAAAAGUAGUUGCAAGGAAAAAAAUGUGAC